UGAGAACUAAGUCUUGGUCAUAGAAAGUA
rnacentral:piRNA from 1 species